rnacentral:sRNA from 1 species
UUACGUUAGCAUGGCUGCCUAGGGAUCUGUUCACUGAUUUAGGGGGUCCCAGAGCUCUGGGUCGGGACUGAGGUGACAGAGCGCGAAAACGCGAGAAGCGGUGUUCCUUCUACACAGAGGCUAGAGUGCGGAUCGGCUGAGUCGGCUGCAGGCGCCCCUGCCUCCGUCAGCGUCCAGGUGACCGCCGUUCCCGCCCCGCUCUUCCCUGGCUGGACUGGAGGAGGCCGCGCCGAUGAACCUGAUCGAGGUGCGUGCAGCGUCCCAGGCCGCCCCGCCCAACCCUUCCUCCCAGUGCUGAAGUCCCAAGGAGCGGCCCUGCAGGCCGAAAGAGAGUCGUGAUCAACUCAGUAUACCACUGGAGGCUAUAUGAGUAAACAGCAAACUGUUUCUCAUGAAAGCAGGAUGUUGGCAAACUGACAAACUGCAUCUGCCACCCAGAAGGAAUGCUGAAGGCAGUCACGACCCAGGCACAAGUGUUUCUUGUGAUUAGGCAUAAUUGAAGCCUGUUAACAAUAAUGUGAACUUGUGAUCAAUUAAGCAGCUGACCAGUGGUUACCUCCUCCUCCCUUUCAUCCUACCCAAUAAAUUCGGAGGGCUGUGGAAGCUCAGGGGCUGCCUUUGCUCACUAGAAGCAGGGAGCUCUCUUCUUCCCUGGUUCACCUUUUUUAAAACA